AACUUCUAACGGUGGAUCUCUUGGCUCGUGCAUCGAUGAAGAACGCAGCCAGCUGCGAUAAGUAGUGUGAAUUGCAGAACUCAGCGAAUCAUCGGAUCUUUGAACGCAA
rnacentral:rRNA from 1 species